CUCCCUGUACUGUUCUCUGUUGCAGACUGUCUGACCACCACGUGUGUAAUUCAGCCAGCCACAGAACUGGAAUUUCCCAGGGGCAAGAGAAGCACGGAAUUUGGACUUUCUUAAGCAACUGAAGUAGAGCGUGGAACUUGCUGGCCCAGGAAACACCAUGGACAAUGAACAAGAAGGCAGUAAUACCAGCAAGCCCCUGUGGCUAGGAGGCUUUCUUGACACCAGGAGAUUCUCGAACUCUUUGAUGAAGGAUAUUGUGUCUUACUGGUCUCCAGUGCAUGAAGCUGCAAUCCAUGGACGUCUGUUCUAUUUGAGAAACCUCAUCAACCAGGUAACUCUUUGAAAUAGAAUGGUAAAAUUAAGCACAUCUUACUGCUACAUCAAAUUCAGGAAAAGGAAAUUAUAGACUGACAGUAAGAUACAAAUUUCUUCUUAAGUAAAAUGAAGUGUAUCGUAUGUGAAUA
rnacentral:lncRNA from 1 species